GAUGAAGAACGUAGCGAAAUGCGAUACUUGGUGUGAAUUGCAGAAUCCCGUGAACCAUCGAGUUUUUGAACGCAAGUUGCGCCCGAAGCCAUUAGGCCGAGGGCACGCCUGCCUGGGCGUCACACGUCGUUGCCCCCCCAUCUACUCCUUCGGGAUUGCGGGGGGCGGAUGAUGGCCUCCCGUGCGCCUCGUCGCGCGGUUGGCAUAAAUGCCAAGUCCUCGGCGACGCACGCCACGACAAUCGGUGGUUGCGAAACCUCGGUUGCCCGUCGUGUGCGGUCGUCGCGCAUCGAGGGCUCGAAAAAAUUGCCGGGCUCCGGCUCGGCUUUCAACGCGACCCCAGGUCAGGCGGGGUUACCCGCUGAAUUUAAGCAUAUCAAUAAGCGGAGGA
rnacentral:misc_RNA from 1 species